AAGAAAACCAACAAAACCUAUAAACAGCUACUUGUCUUUGUGUGUUGAUUAAUUGUAGUUAACAUGGCACGUCAGGCAGAUCGUCUUGUUAAGAUUGGGCAGGAGGGUUUUGCAACCAUUGAUGAGCACUUCGGCCGGGCCAAGAGGCGGCCACCAGUUAUGAAGGUUCCCUAUGCUCAUCCCACAUAUUACUAUGCAACAGAAGUUAUCGACAGCAACGAGGCAGCUCAACGCUACAAGGGGAGGGUUUAUGUCGAUUACCCUAAGGGUAAACCAGUUCCGUUUUAAAGACCUAUUGAUUAAUCACUUAGCUUUCUUGUAUGCAUAACCUCCUCCAGUUGUGUUACCUUUAGUCCUGUACGAUAUUCUCCCUCUGCUAAACGUAGACGAGGAGAGGUUGCUAGAACUCGAGUCAGGAGCUUCUUCUUACUUCUUCAAAUAAACUUUCUGUGAUUUAUAUAUCAUUUUCUAUUUGUAUGUAUUGUCAUAAUUAUCUUUCUUACUUCCUCAUUAUCACCUCUUACUUAGCAUGGAAUUGAAAGAUACAAUAUGCUCUUGAAAUGCUUUGAAGCUCUUCAAGGUGUGAUUUCACCGACUAAGUUUGGAACUGUACAGAGCUCAAUGAUGAGCCGUGGGAGGCGUCUCUGAUUGUUGCACUGUAAGCAUGAGUGUACGUAUGAAUAUAACCAGCAGAUCCGCAAACCACAAGUGAUGACAAGCUUCUUAACACUGCUGCAUUUAACAGUUUUACCAACAAAAUGUUUUGUCGGUAUUUACUCUACCAUUCCGUCAGCAUGAAUUUUACCGACUGAUUUACGGACGGAAACAGUCCAUUGGUAAAUUCCUCUUGUCAGUAAUUUCAUUAAUGUCGGUACAAAAAAACCCGAUGGUUUUACAGAUAGAAAAUGCAAGCCAAUUGUUUUUCCACUGGAAUAUACAGACGGAAUUAUUUCUUCGGUGAUUGACAGUGGCAUAUGGAGUAAUUUUAUUCCAAACCCUCUAUAAAAUACCGAAGGAAUUAUUCCAUCGGUGAUGUAACAGUUGAAAUGGCAUAUGCAGUAAUUAUUUUUCAACUCUCUGGAAUAUAACGACCAACAAAGUUUGUCGGUAACUUCGUCCGUAAUAAUUAAAAAAUAUAUAUAUUUUUAAAAAUUAUUUAUUGAACAAAAAAAGAAAAUAAUAAAAAAUAUAAAAUUGUAUAAAAUUCAAGUAUGUAAAAAUAAAUUACCUUAGUAUAAAAGCCAAAUAUUCAUUACAAAUUUAUAUGUUCAAAUAAAAUUAAACUAGAAAAAUGGCGGCGUUGGAGGAGGCUGAUCGUUCCCGGGACCAUAUGGCCAAAAAGAGUGUCGCACGUGACCCGCGCGGCGUCCGAUGGUGAUUUUUUCGUUAUGCGUUUGCUUGAUUGGUUCGUUGGGAGUCGCCACCUAGUAUUUAAUUGAGGGCAACUAGGAAACCCGGGUGUACUGGUCUUGUCAGAGAUUCACGGGUAAGGGACUGGUUGUGGUUAGGGAAGGUAUUUGCACCCCUAACGCACCCUACCUGAGGUAAGCUGCUUCGUGGCUUUGAUGUGAUAAAGAAGUUUUAAAAAUUUUGUUCUUUCAUCGGGUAUUAGAAAUACGACUUACAUGUAAGUUCAUAAUUCUUGACCGUGAUCAAAUCAAAAUAUUAAAUUCUUCUUUAUUCUUUGCAAUUUUAUCAUAAAAAAAAUACAUUUAUAAAAAAAAAACUACAAACAAACACAUUCACUUUCACUAUAUUUUUUCUUUUCUUUUUCUUUUUUUUCUUUUUCACAUCUAUAUUACAAAAAUUCAAAACUAAACAAAAAUUACAUUAAAUAAUUUGAAAUUACAAAAAUAGCCCAAAAACAAGUCCAUAACAGUGCUGGGAAGCUUUCUGGAACUGCAUGCAGUGUUGAAGAAGGUUCCUGAACAGUUGAACAGUGCGUCGCCACGAGAAAUUCCAGGCAGCAGGGGGCGCUGCUGCGGCUUCCUCCCCUCUUCACUUCCCUGCCGGCGGUUAGGGUCUUCAUCACCUGCAAAAGAAUAAAACACCCAAACCAGUUGAUUUUAAUUUUUCUUUCUUUUUCGGAUCUGUUUCGGUCUUCUCCUUUUCAGAUCUACUUCACCGCAGAUCUUUCUUUGGUUUACAUCUUCUUCUCCUUCGCUUCAGGUGGCCGGUAGUUGGGCGGCGACGGCGCUGGAUUCAGGUUGUUGCUUUGGCCGCUGCAAUUGGUGGCUGAAGGAAAUGGCGUGGAUCUGUGGGCUGCCGUGUGCUGGCUGCUGUGGCUGACGGUGUGGGCGGCGCUGAUGGGAGGAGGAAAUGAAGGAAAAAGUCGGGGGGAAAAGGGAGGCAAAUCUGUUCUGGGGUUGCAGGUCUGCAGCAAUAGUGGAAGGAAAUGGGGGAGAUCGGCUGGCUGGGGGGCUGGUCUCUUUCGGCCGGUUCUGAUUUGCUUUUGGAUGAGGGGCGUGAGUGGUGGCUUCUGUUGAUAAGGGGAAAGGAAGGCUUGUGCGGGGAAGAUGAAGAUGACCGGGAGGGGAGCGGCCAAGGAAGAAGAAAAAAAUCAAAAACCAGCGGGGGGCGGUGUCUGCUCUUUUGUUUUGCCAAGUGGGGAGCGCUGCUGUUUGGGUAAAGAUAGGUUUAGGUUUAGGGUUAGGGUUUCUUGUAUCUCUCAAUGUGUAAAAUUACCCCCCUUCUCCUUUUGUGUGUUGUGGAGACCAGUAUUUAUAGGUAAAAAUAUUGUUUGGGUUUUUUUUUUUGUAAAUUUGAUUUUUCUUGUUUUUUUUGGAUUUUCUUAUCAACAUCGCCUCGAAUGAGGAAAAUCAGUGAUUUUAAAAAUAACGCGUUAAAAGUCAAACGCGUUCCAAAGAUCUUUGAAAAUUUAAAUUCUUUUGAGACGAUGUUGAAAAUGCUAAAAACGAUGCAAAUAUAUUAAAAAAACAUAUUUUUUUGGAUUUUCGAUGUUUUCGCUAUUUUUGGAUUUUUCUGAAAAUUUAUCAAAAACAUGGGUCAAAAAUUGGGUAGCAACAAAGAGGACGCACAUGUACCACCCAUCUGUGAUCUUAUAUCCAUCGCCAUUCUACGGAGUUCAUAAUAAUCUGCAUAGAGUCGUUCAUAUUCUUCAAUGAGAUAGGUCGUAUGUUGUUGUAAGGUCACGAACUCCUGAGACUGGGUGGUCAAUAUCGAUUGCAAGCUCCCAACGGUUGAGACACUACGGGCCAUCUACAAGUUGGUCGUGGUGUUGGAGAGUUUGCACACCUGAUUUCUAUCUGGUCUACCAGAUGAUCCUACCUCCAUCCACAAAUCUGGAUCGAAAUCCAGGUGGGUCGAAGGAUCGUUCCCGUAUCUCUCCCUUAAUCGUCUGUUAUAUGUCUCCUGGAAAUAAAAAAACUGAAAUCAUCAAAUUUAAUUCAAGUAAAUAAUAAUUUACAAAAGAAAAUGGUUGAACGAACAUACCACAAAGUGUUGAGCGCAGUAGUUAACGAACUGUUGCACCUCUUUUUGGCAGUCUUCACUCUACACGUGCGUCUCCACAAAAAGCUCCAUUGGGCUUGGCUCACGUCUAAGAGCUGUAGUCUGUAAGAAAAAAAUGUUGCAAGUAAAAUAAAUUUAUAAAUAACAACAAAUUAAUUAAAGAUAGAUGUGAUUAAAAUUAUUUUUUUUGUUAUUUUUUUAAUUUUUUAGGCUUUGUUUGGAAAAAAAAACCUAAUUUUUUUGUAAUAAAACUGUCGAAACAAGCAUAAGGGGGUGUUUGCCAAACACACCCUUAAACCAAAAAACCCUUUUAGCAAAAAUAUUGCAAGCUAAACAAGGUCUUAACCCUUUGACCCAUUCUUGACCCAACUGGGUUGACCCAAUCGAGUUGACCUGACUGGGAUGACCUAAAAUCUUUGGUUUCAACCAUAAACCGAACCAAAGAUCCUAGUUUGACCCGAAAACAACUCAAAAAGAAAACAAAAGCCAAAAAACAGAUUAAACACCAAAAAACAUGAAAAAACUUGAAAAUAACGAAUCAAAUGCAAAAAAUAAAAAAAGAACACGAAUAACAUGAAAAACAUUAGAACUCAAAUUCUAGCAACAUGAAUUCUAAUCUAGACCAUAUUUCAGGAAAUAAAAAGCACAUAAAGGAUGGAAAUCAAUCAUUGAACAAUAAUUAAGCAUCAAGCAUCGAUGAUUAUCAACCAAUAAUCACGAUUGAGUCAAAAUAAGUUUUGGUUCAAAACCAAAACCCUAUGAUUAAAACCCCCAUAAAACUUGUUAUUGAUACAAAUGAGCUCUAGACUACUAAUUAAUCAAGUCCAAUGAAGUGUUUAAUGCAAAGGAAUGGACCAAAACUGGUCCAAAACAUAGAGAUAAGCCAAUGUUAUUCCCAAGAACAUAGAACUCUGCCUUAGAAAACCCGGCUAUUGUCAAGCCACCAAAACUGGCAUUUUCAACCACUAAAAAAUGCUUUCUUCAUUUCAAAAAGUCACACUACCAUAACCAAACAUGUUUGAAUAAAAAAUAAAUAAAUAACAUCAAAAGCAUGCAAGAGGUUCAAAACUACAAACUUAAAAUAGCCUAUAUAUUUAUGCAAUUUGGAUUCAAUUUUCUUCCUAAACCUUCAAAAAAACCCAACCAAAACCUAGAAACUAAGAACAUGCAUUAGUCAACAUAAAAAACAUCAUAACCUUGCUGCCACAUCUAGUAGAUUUCAAAAGUACUUUAUUUCAUCAAAACUCAACCAACAAACAUCACUUAAGUAUUCAGAGACAUUAACAAACAACUCAAAGCAGGAUUUAAACAAUAAAACAACCUUUUUAUGUAUUAAUCAAAAUCAAAACUAAAGAACAUCAUAACAGUAAAGCAAGUUUGAAAACAUCAUUAAACAUGUAAAAUAAGUUAGAGGUAUGUCUCAUGGACAUCACCUAUUAGGUUAGUUAGGGAUUAUAUCUUUCAAAAAUUCAGAAUAGUUAUUGCCUUUCUUCCUUUUGAAAAUCCAAUCUUUUUUCAAUCUUUAACUUAUCCUUUUAGCUUUUGGAUGCCAAGUGUCGCAUGUGGGCGCAAGAUGUCGGGGGGUCAUGGGAGUCACCACCUAGUUUUUUGGUUCAAAGUCGCUAGGAAACUCGGGUAUACUGGUUUUAUCAGAUAUUCCAAGGGUAAGAGACUGAUUGUGGUUGGGUAAGGUACUAGUACCCCUAAUGCACCCUACCUGAGGUAAAGUGUAUUGUGUGGUUUAAAGGUUUUUAUGGAUUCCUAAAUGGUGGUAUGUCUAUGACUUAAGAUGGGGAUUUAUUCAUGUGAAUAAAUCUGGUUUUUUUUAAUUUAUUAUGGUUGUAGACAAGAUCCAUAUAGGUGCCCUAACAGGGUUCACCUAUCUUUAAAGGUGGAACGACUUUCCACAACUCAUGUAUUGUGAUGAAAAAUACUCCCAAUUAAAAUUGGUGAAUGUUUAAAAUAAUUUUGAGAAUUUUCUCGUCAACUCAUGAUAUUUAAAUACCAGCAUACUUGUAAGUUCAACAUUUAUACCAAAAAAUUGACAAUUAUUUCUAAUGAAUUAAUUUUUUUUAUGGAUUUUUGAAAUAUUGACAAAGUUCUAAUGAAUUCAAUAAACUGGUUAUUAAACCCAAAAUGCAUGGAAAUAUACUAAACAAAGUGGUAUUUUUUGGCCAUGUAAUAUCAAAGAAGAGUAUCUAUGUGGAUCCAAAGAAGAUAGAAACAAUAUUGAAAUGGGAAAGACCUACAACUGUGACUGAAAUUCAUAGUUUUCUAGGCUUAGCUUGAUAUUAUAGGAGAUUUAUAGAAGGAUUUUCAACGAUAGCCUCUCCAAUGACUCGACUAACUUGGAAGGAAGUUAAGUUUGAAUGGUCAAAAGAGUGUGAAACAAGUUUUCAAGAGUUAAACUCCAGGCUAACUUCAACCCCAGUAUUGGCUUUACCAAAAGGACAGGAGGGAUUUGUUAUGUAUAGCGAUGCUUCCAAUAAGGGUUUGGGUUGUGUAUUUAUGCACCACGGAAGGGUAAUCGCUUAUGCAUCUAGACAGUUGAAACCAUAUGAGAUAAACUAUCCGGUACAUGAUUUGGAGCUGACAGUUGUGGUGUUUGCUUUGAGGAUAUGAAGACAUUAUUUGUACGGGGUACAAGUGCAGAUUUUUACAGAUCACAAAAGUUUAAAAUAUUUGAUGUCACAAAAAGAAUUGAAUAUGUGACAUAGGAGAUGGAUGGAGCUAAUCAAAGAUUAUAAUUGUAUUAUUGACUAUCACCCGGGGAAAGCAAAUGUGGUGGCAGAUGCUCUGAGUCGAAAGAAUAAAGCUUUUAUUAGUGGUUUACUAGUGCUAAGUGAGCUAAAUGUGCUUUUGGAUGUGACUUCAGGAGGAAUAUUACUAGCAACGUUAGUGCUAUAAUCUAAAAUGAGAGAAAAGAUUCGAAAAGCUUAAGGUGAAGAUCCUGAAGUGAUGAAAGAAAUGAACAUUGUAUAAGUAGGCCAAGACUCUUUAUUUCGUAGUUAUGGGAAACAUAAUAUAUUUACCUGAUGAUAAGGUUUUAAAAAGUGAAGUCUUAAAAGAAGCUCAUGAGUCUAAAUUGGCGAUCCAUCCAGGAAGCACGAAAAUGUAUAGAGAUUUGAAGGAGAGUUACUGGUGGCCAAAAAUGAAGAGGGAGAUAGCAUAAUACGUGGUCAAGUGUGCCAUAUAUCAGCAGGUGAAUGUAGAGCAUCAAUGGCCAGUUGGAGAAUUACAAUCUCUUUCGAUUCCAAAAUGGAAAUGGGAGAAUAUCACUAUGAAUUUUGUAUCUAGGUUACCGAGAAGCAGGAAAGGACUUGAUGUCAUAUGGGUGAUCGUGGAUAGACUGACAAAGUCUUCUUUAUUUUUGCCUAUGAAGAUGGGGGAUUCGGUUGAAUAACUAGCUCAAUUAUAUAUUAAAGAGGUGGUGAGAUUGCAUGGUGUACCAGUUUAUAUAGUUUCUGAUAGGGAUCCUUGGUUUACAUCAAGGUUAUGGCCGAGUAUACAACGGGCUUUGGGUACCAUAUUGAAUUUAAGAAUGACUUUUGAUCCACAGACUGAUGGGCAAUCUGAAAAGACAAUUCAGAUUUUGGAAGAUUUGUUGCGGCUUGUAUUCUAAAGUUUGGAGGUCAAUGGGAGGAUCACUUGCCAUUAGUAGAAUUUACUUAUAAUAAUAGUUAUCAAUCUACUAUUGGCAUGGAACCAUAUGAAGCAUUGCAUGGAAGGGGAUGUUGAACUACAGUAUGUUGGGAUGAAGUUGCGGAAAGAAAAUUAUUAGGACCUGAACUGGUGCUGAUCACGGUUGAUAAGGUGAAGGUGAUAAAGUAAAUGAUGAAAGAAGCUCAAGACCGGCAAAAAAGUUGUGCUGAUAAUUGACGGAGACCUCUAGAGUUUCAAAUUGGAGAUGUGGUAUUUUUAAAAGUUGCACCAUGGAAGCAUGUGAUUCGGUUUGGAAUGAAAGGCAAAUUAGCACCCAGGUAUAUCGGGCCAUAUAAAAUUAUAGAAAGAAUUGGGACGGUCCUAUCGAAUAAUACUGCCACCACAUUUAGAUAUGAUACAUAAUGUGUUUCAUGUUUCGAUGCUGCGGAAAACAGACUUGGAUCUUGCAUGAAUUUUGCCACAAAUUUCGAUGGAAGCACGGGAAGAUUUAACUAUGGAGGUACAACCAGUGCAAAUUAUGGACCGAAGUAUAAAAGAGUUACGAAAUAAAAAGGUGUCGUUAGUAAAGGUAUUGUGGAGAAACUCUCGAAUAGAAGAAGAAACCUAGGAGAGAGAGUCAGAAAUGAAGAAGAAAUAUUCUAGAUUAUUUUUUUACAUAGGUAUGAAUUUAGAGGACAAAAUUUUUUUUAGGAGGGGAGAAUGUAAACCCCCCGGAUGAAAAAUAAUAAAUUGACUAGUUUUAUGUAAAAUAAAACAUUUCAUAACUGUUGAUCGGGUUAUUAGACAAUUCUAAAAAUUUACGUGGAGCCUUCUAAUAUGAUGCCUUAGCUUGGGUUAAAAUUUCAGAAUUGUUGGAGAAAUUCAGAAAUUUGACAAAAAAUCACAAUUUGACAAAAAAUCACAAUUUGACUAGUUUUACGUUAUUGGACGUAAUUUUCAAUCCAAUCCUCAGAUUGAGCUGAAAUUUUACGAGGGACUUUAAACUAUAUUGAAUAAAAUUUGGUUAAAGUUUUAGGAUGAACGGAGCUCGGUAUUGCUAAAAAACAAUAAGGACCGUCAAAUAGAAGUAAAAGUACUCAUUAAGGGUAAAAUGAUUAUUUGCCAUUAAAAAAUAAAACAAAUCAGCUCUCCUUUCCUUUUAUAUGCUGCCGACUGUGCAGAAGCAGAGUGGGAAAAGAAAGAAAAGAAAAAAAGCAAGUGAGAAAGAGAGAAAAGUAAGGAAAAAAUAAGAAAAGUGAGAGAAUAACCUUGUAAACUUACAAAGUCCAACUUAUAAAACACUAAUCUAAGGAAGAAUCAAGUGAAGGAAGGAGGAAUUGAGAGAGAGAAUUUGGCUAACCUUGGGAGAGAAGAGAAAUUGGAAGAAAGUCAAUUGGUAAGUAUGAGAAGUUUGGAUUUAAUGUUUGAUUUAGAUGUUUUUAAGCUAAAUUGAUUAAGUUAGGAAGUAAUUUCAUGAAAUUUUACUUUAAUUUCCCUUAAAUCCUUGAUUCUUGAACUUAGGGUUCUUAUGGGAAUUUGGGGGAAUUAGUAAGGGAAGGAAAAAUGAUGAAGUUGAAGUGGAAUAGCAUGAAAACAAGUUGAAAUAACAAGUAAAUGAAGAAAAAUUUGGGGGAGGAAAAAGAAGAUGACAUUUGGCCAAAUGAAGGAAAAGUGGAGGAAUGAGUUUUGAUGUUAAUUUUUAGGAAACUAUGUUUAAUCAUGAUAUUUGAAAUAUGCAAGAAUGACUAAAUAAAGAAAUAACAUUAAAGUUGAGAAAAAUAAGUAAAUUCAAUUUAAAAGAGAAUUGAACUAGUUAAAAAGAAAGUAUGAAGACAAGAUGUUUAGAUUGUGUUUGAAUAUAGUUCUUACAUAUGUUUAGAUAAAAUAAAUAAUAUGAUGUGAAGGCAUAAAGAAUAGAAGGAUUAUUUGAUGGAGGAAUUAUGAACAUAAAGCAAGAAAAGAAGUCACUUUUUUUUAAAUAUGUGGUUGUAUGUGAAAUGAUGGUGUUAUGUUUGAGAAUGAAUUUUUAUCAGAAUGAAUUAAAACAAAAUGUGCUUUGCGUUUCGGCACGUAAGAAAAAUAUUGAUGUACUAAUGAUAUAAUGAUAUUUGAUUGAUUCAGGAGUUGUGUCUGGAGCUGGUUAUCAAACAGGAGGAGCCGGGUCAUCACGAGCACAAGGUAAGUGAUUCGUCACCUUAUUUGUAAGUUUUCCUUAAAUAUCUAUGUUGUUUAUUUAAUUGAUGUUAAAAGAAUGAAGCAAAUGAAUAAAUUAAGUGAUUAUUACAACUGAAUAAUUGGUAAUUUAUGUGAAAUUACCGGAAUUACUAUUUGGCUUACAAAAGAGGUUAGCCGGAUGCUGGGCAAUUCAUAUGAAAUUACCGAAUUGAUUUUGGCAACCAAAAUAGGUUAGCCAGAUUCCUUGGGUAAUUAUGAGAAUUACCGGGUUUAUUGGUUAACAAAGAGGUUAAUCAGAUAUGGGGUAAUUCGUAUUGAAUUACCGGAUUGAUUGGCUAACAAAAGAGGUUAGCAGGAUGAUGGGUAAUUUAGAUGGAAUUAUCGGAUUUAUUGGUAACUGAGGAAGGAUAACCAAAUUUGUGGGUAAUUAUAUGAAAGUGUUAGAAUUAUUGGCAAUCGAGAUGAGUUAGCUGGAUAUUUAAUUUUUGAAAAGAUUAUGUAAAUUAAUUGAAUGAAGUUAGAAGUAUUAAAUUUCAGAGGUUAAGAGUAAAAUAAUUAAUAUAUGACUAAGAUAUUGAGUAAAUUAAUUAAUGUGGUUAUUGUUGAAACAGGUACGCGAGGUGAUGCAAAUCGUUAGAUGUAGGAUUUUUCUGUUUAUGAAUUAUUAUUUUGGAAUGUAAUAUUUAUGUCUUUGUUUUCUUUGAAAACCCUUAUGUUGUCAAAAUCAGAUAGAAGAUGUGUAGUAUGUAAUGAUUGUAUUACCUUCGUGUUGUAAAAAUCAAAUAGAAGAUGUGUAAUAUGUAAUGGAUGUAUUAUAUAUAUGUAUAGAUGUUAGUAUGGUAAAUCAUUUUCAGAAUGAUAAGAUAAGUUUAUAAUAUAAAGUAGUAGAAUACAUUAUAUGUUUUAAGACAAUAUGACUCUUAAUCUUAAUAUUUUAUCCAUUUAGUCUAAAUGCAUAUAUGUAGUUAAUUAACAUUUAUUACUUUUUAGUGAUGAAAUUGUUUAUCUUUCAAUUUGUUUUAGUAAUUCUUUUAUGUUGACUUGUUAAUUCAUAUUAUGAGACUUGAAUAUGUUGAUAACUAUAAGUUUUGAGAGAUUGAUUGAUGAAUGGGAUGUGAUCCAGGAUGAUUGGAUCAAGAUGGAAGUUGUAAUGGCAUAUAAUAGAAGUGUUGUUGAUAACUUGAUACCAACAAAAAUAGAGGAAACUCUGCCAAACUUUUCAAAAAAUAAAAUAAAAAUCCAUAAUCUUAGACAUAUUAUUCAAUACUUGACAUUCGUAAAGAAAUGUUUGAGAUUUUAUGACAUUAUAAUUUGAGGAUGUUAUAGUUUGGUACUAAGACAAACCAUGUAUUUUAUAUUUUAAACAAGAUAUGAUUUUUAUUUUUAUUUUUGGAAGACUUGGUCGUAUGUUAUUUAAGAUAAAAUUGUAUUUUUGAAAAAAGAGAUUUUUUUUUUGUUGUUUUUGUAAAAGGUAAAACGAUUCGUUUAACAUCGAAGAAGCGUCUCGUGUGUGUGUCACGAUUUUAAAUAUUAAAUACGUGAUGAUUGGAAAAUAUGGAGAACUCAAAAUUAAUUGCAAGAUGAUCUUCCAAAGAUUUUGAAAAUGGACGAAGAUAGUGUUUAGUAAAACACAAAUAAAUUAUUUUUAUGAAGGCUAUUUUAACCACGAUAUUAAUUCAAAACAAAAUAUCGUUCAUCAACUUGAAACGAGCAACACCAAAAAUCCACAUGAAUCUUAUUAAUUUCACAAACUUUGUUCAAACUGCGUAUUAAUUCAAAGGAAUUAACACAAACCCAAACAUGCAUCAAUAUUUAAUGUCCAAAAAACAAUCACAAUCUAAUAAUAAACUCAUAACUCACCACAAAUACUCAAAUCACCUCAAAAUCAAUAAUACACAUCAAACCAAAUUAAAAGUGUCCAACAGUCCAUAAAAAAUACACAAUAAUAAGCAUUUUUCCUAAAAUUUCACAACAUUGUAGCAAUUUAUCUGAAACAAUAUUAGUAAUUAAAAAACUUCAAUAUAGAAAAGCGGUGAUGUAUACAAGUGGAUUUGUCUAAGCAUGAAAGCCGUUCAAGAGAGGAGUCACCAAUAUAUAUUCCUUUCUUAACUCUCAAUUAUAUAUAUUUCUUAUCACUUUAUUCAUGAACUCUUGAUAAAUCAUCAGACCACCGCCAGGACCUUAAAUCCAGACCUUUGCCUACCGCAUUAAUUGACAAGAAUAUUUCAAGCAUUUAGAACCUUAAAGAUACCAACACAAAAUUGGGGCAGAUUUUUUUUUUUUUUGAAAGAUGUGUAUAUUAUUUAAACGCCAAAGCCUGGCGGGAGUAGUACAGAAACUACAUAAUAUCUUACUAUGGCAAAAAGCCAUAAAUAGGAUAAAGCGCAGUAUAAGAAAAACAAAAGCAAAGAAAACCUUAGAAUAGCCAUCCGAAUGAGCUCAAAGCUAAACAAUCCUCUACAAAACAAAAAUGAAAAUAACGCAAAGACAUAGUGGGAGAAGACACAAGAGCAAGGCCAUAGAAAAAAAAGUGUAGUCAAAGCCAGGCAACAAAAUCACUUGAUCUUUGCACUCCUUGUUUAGCCAUGCAAUCUGCCAUGCAAUUACUUUCACGGAAGAUAUGGGAGAAGGUGAUUGAACCAAAAUAUGCUUUCAGCCUAUUAACAGAGGAGAACAGAUUAUGAUGCUUCCAGGGACGGUUGUGAGGCUUAUUCAUCCAGCUAAUAGCAUUGACAGAGUCAGAUUCUAUGAUGAGGUGUUGAUGGUGGAAGAGACAAUUAGAUGCUGAAAGUUCAAUGGCUUUGACAAUAGCCCUUAACUCAGCAAUAUUAGAGUCUAAAAUACCAACUGAAACAGAGAACAUACCGAGAAGAUGUCCAUGAUGAUUUCGCAGUACACCACCUAUUCCAGAAGGGCCUGGCUUACCAAGAGACGAGCCAUCCAUGUUCCAUUUAAGGCUAUUAAUCAUAGGAGGAGACCACAUAUUAUGAAUCCUGAAGGAGUGGGCAUUGGACCACCGAAGUAAGCCAUUUGCCGAUCUGAUCAGAUCUGAAGGGGAGUAUGGGAAAUCAGAAUGGAUAGCUUUUAGCCAUAGACAUAGACAGGUGAUAAUAAGAAAGAAUAUUGAAUCAUAGUCAGGUGUCUUCUGUUGGAAGAUCAGAUCAUUUCGAAGUAGCCAAAGAGACCAUGCCACUGAGAAGAACAACAUCAGCCACGCCUUCCUCUGAAAAUGACCAUGCACCAUGGAAGUCCAUUGAGACCACAAAUCUGAGAAGCUCUUUGGGCAACACCAAACUAAACCCCACCACUUAAUGAUUUUGGACCAAAUCAGCCAAUGCUUAUGGCAUUGAAGCAGGAUAUGGUCCACCGAUUCUGCCUCCACUAGGCAGAUAGGGCAAUUUGAUUCUGAGCUACUCAAUAUACCCCUUCGAACCAACAUGCAUCGGGUGUUGAUUCUGUUAAUGAUAGCCAUCCAGCAAAAGAUCUCUACCUUAGGAGGGACAAUACCUUUCCAAAUUCCAGCAAACGAGAAGGCAUUGUUUGUGGAAGGCUUUGGGCUUAACAAUCCAUAGAGAGAUUUAACUGAAAAUCUUCCUGAAUUAUUGUCCUUCCAUAUUAGUCUAUCCUCUCCAUCUUUGUCCAUGAGUACAGUCGAUAGGAUUGCAUAAAGCUGAUCGAGCAAGCCAAUGCUGCGCCCCCGUAGCGGACGUAUCCAGGAAAAAAACCAAAUCCACUCAUACCCUUCCCACAUUCCCAUUUUAGCAAUGCUGGCAGCUUUGUCAUUGGAUAAUUGGAAAAGAGUAGGGAAGUGCUCUGCUAAACAGUGGUUAUUAAGCCAGCAGUCAAGCCAAAAUUUAGUCUUUUUGCCAUUUCCGAUAAGAACCAGAGAUUGCUCUUUCACAAUAUCCUGCAGGUUAUUAUUUCUCACACAAUGAUUGACAAUUCGGGACCAUGUAGUUGCAGCUCCUGGAAUAGGAGCUUGCAGCAGCAGAUUAGAGCAAUUGGUGAUGUGGAUGCUUUUGAUCACAUCCUUCCACAAACUUGAUUCCUCCGACCCAAACCUCCAUAACCAUUUAAAGAGCAGAGCUGUGUUUUUGUCCCUUAAGGGACCAAUCCCAAGGCCACCCGCUUGUUUUGGAAGAGUAACAGUGGCCCAGCUGACAUUGCAUAUUUUGUGUCUUUCCUCAUUUCCAGACCAGAGGAAGGAUCGAAGUUUGUGAUCAAUUAUGGAGGCAACCGAAGCAGGCAUAGGGAACAUAGAUAGGUAGUAGAUGGGGAGAUUGCUGAGCACAUAUUUAAUCAAGCACAAACGACCCCCAAUAGAUAAGAACCUGCAUUUCCACGAAGCCAACCGGAAACUGAUAUUAUGUAAAAUAGGAUUCCACAUUGUAGCUCUGCCCAGGUUUCCAUCAAUGGGGAGUCCAAGAUACAUGAGAGGCAGCUGAUCCUACUUGCAUCUAAGAAGCUGAGCCGUGAAGUUACAUGUAUGAGCUGCUACACCCACACCGACAAUGCUACUUUUAUAAAAAUUGACCUUCAACCCCGAGACAAGUUCAAAGCAUAAUAGGAUACGUUUAAUGUUCUGCAUGCUAUGUAAAGAGUCUGAACUGAAUAUAAGGGUGUCGUCCGCAAAUUGUAAGUGAGAUAUGACAAGCCCUGCAUUGCCGAUGUUUAUACCUGAAGUCAAACCCAAAUCACAGCCACGCUGCAACAUACAACUCAACCCCUGGACUGCAAUGUUGAAGAGAAACGGAGAGAGAGGGUCUCCUUGGCGUAGGCCUUUAGCUAAGCAGAAUUCCUCCGUGGGAGACCCAUUAACAAGCACAGACAUUUUUGCCGCUGAUAUGCAUUGCAUAAUCCACCCUCGCCAUCUAUUGCCAAAGCCCAUACUAGCCAUGAUUUCAUUAAUAUAUUCCCAUAACACCGAAUCAAAGGCUUUGUGAAAAUCUAAUUUGAAGAGAUAAGCUUUACCCUUUUUCUUCUUAAUGAAAGAAAGGACCUCAUUUGCAAUCAAGACGCUGUCUAAAAUUUGCCUCCCUUUGAUGAAAGCAUUUUGAUGAUGAGAGAUGACCUCUGGCAUAACAUGUUUCAACCUGGUUGCUAGAAUCUUUGAAAUGAUCUUGUAUAGGCUGCCAACCAAACUAAUAGGUCUGAAAUCUGAUAGCUUGUUAGCACCUUUAAUCUUCGGAAUAAGAGUAACAAAGGUGCUAUUGAUACCAGCAGGGAGGAGAUUAGUCCGAUAGAAGUCAUCAAUCAUCUGGAUAAUAUCCUCACCUAUAAUGUUCCAUGCUUUCUUGAUGAAAAGGAAGUUAAUACCAUCAGGACUUGGAGCUUUAUUUCUAUCACAAUCCCACACAGCUGUUUUAAUCUCUUCUGCAGAAAAUGGCAAUUCAAGAGCAGCAGAGGAUGAAGGCUUCAGCCUUGAGAAUUCCAGGUUUGAACAUGAAGCUCUAGGUCUGUUCUGGUGGGAGUAUAGAUUGCGAAAAAAGUUAAAGACAACUAGCUUCACAUCGAUUGGUUUAGAUAGGAUCUGUCCAUCAACCUCCAGGCAUGCAAGCUGAUUCUUUUUCUGUCUUGUUGUUGCAGCUAAAUGAAAGAAUCGAGUAUUUUUAUCUCCAAGCUUACACCACUGAAUUCUUGAUUUCUGAUGCCAGGCAGACUCUUGAGCUCUAUACAGGAUUUUGAGUCGGGAGGCAAUGGAAUUACUUCUAAUCAGUUCAUUAGCACUCAAGACCCUGCACUCAUUUUCACGAUCCAUUGAGUCAGCUUCAAGUUCCAGUUCGGCAAUUCUGUUAUUCAUGCUUCCUAUAUUAGCUUUACUCCACUGCCGACAUCUCUCUUUCAACAUCUUUAGAGCUGGGACCAUUUUCCUUGUGCCAGAUUUUGAAACCAUGAUUGAACUCCAAAAGCUCUGAAUCAUAUUCCUAAAAUCAGACACAAGCCACCAGCAAUUCAUGAAGCGAAAGGGUUUCGGGCCCCAAUUUGUAGAGUCUAGCAACAGAUGCAGAGGCCUAUGAUCAGAUGAAUAUUUUGAGAGACCAAAUAAGGUAGAUGAUGGGAAAGUCUGCAACCAAUCCCCCGAUACAAAUAUUCUAUCAAUACGGCUCGCCGCAUUACCUCGAGACCAUGUAAAUUUCCUCCCAUUUAAGGGGAGCUCCAUAAGAUUACAAUCAUCAAUGCAAUUUUUGAAUCGUGUCAUGGAAGAUGUUAUUUGUGAGCUGCCUUUCCUAUCUGAUGGGAAUAAGGUUUCAUUAAAAUCACCCGCAAGACACCACGACUUGCUAACACUAUCCCUGAAUGUAACAAGAUAAGUCCACAACUCAUUCUUCAGGUUCCCACCAUUCGGAGCAUAUACAAAAGAGACUAGGCAAUCUAGAUUGGACCGAGUGAAGCUGCCUUCAAUAUGCAAAAUACGGCCAUUCAUAGCAACAGAACAGCUAGAGACACAAAAAAGAUCCGGAUUCCAUAUACAUAAUAUUCCCCCCGAAAGGCCUAAUGAGGGAACUGCAUACCAAGCCCUAGGAUGACGACCCCAUAUAGCAGUAAUAGUGAAAUCAUUCAAAGUUUCCAAUUUUGUUUCCAAAAUACCCAGGAUAUGAAGAUCAAAUUUUCGACCAAGAUUCCUCAAACAUCUCUUUUUUUCUCUCCCCCCUAAGCCACAUACAUUCCAUACAAUUAUACUACCCAUAGGAGUGAUUACAGAGACCAUACCUGCAGACUAUUUACGGAAGCAAAUCACGGCUUCUUCCUUAGGAUCCACUCUUCCUGUUCUCGGUCUAGGAAUCCCUGCAGUGUCUGAGUCAUGAGUGUGCUAUCGUCAUGCCCUUGGAGAAUAGCUUGUCCAACUUCCCAGCAAGCAGUGGCUUCUGCCCUAUUAUCAGAAUGUGCAGGCUCAGUUGCUUCAUCACCAGCAUUGGUGUCGGGUCUGUAUCUUGAACUACUUGCCUCAUCCUCACCAAUCAAUUCCUUACCAGCUUUGAUAAUAGCAUUUAUGUUCUUUAUCCCAUUAUCAGAAACUGAGUAUUCAACAAUUACGGUCUCUGAUUGCUUACCGCUUUGUUUUCCCAGUUGACGUGAUUUCCUCCUCCUAAGAGAGUGUGAUCUGCGUCUGAGCUUCGUUGCUUUUUUUCUGUGGGUUUUCCUGUCUCCUACUUCCAGAGCACUAAGCUCAUAUGGAUCAGCAAUAGGAGUGAUGAAGGUUGUAAAAGAUGGCCCAAUGCUCGUUGAUUUCUGCUUUUUCUUACGCCCCAUCUGCUUUAGGAGUCCACUGUCAUAAUUUAUAUGUUGAUUCAGCCCAUCCUUAGCAGUAAAACAAGAAACUUUUUGCAUAGCCACCCCUCUGCAUGCAACUGAAUCCACCUCAACAUAUACGUAAGGUACCAAGGCUAACUGGUUAUCGCCUUCGUACGUACUCUCAUCAAAUAAAACCGCAUGUUUGCAGAUUUCAGUAAUUUCUGGGUAAAGGUACCACGGUGAAACUUCAGACGUGGUGAGUGUGCUAGCAAGCUGAGUUUGGGUGCCCAACAAACCAGUGAAUUCGGAUUCAAAUUCGGGUCUUUGUUUUGUCUCUUUGUGAGUCGUUGCAGCUUUAUUAGUUUCCUCAAAAAAAUCAUCUUCAUCGUCAUCGGAUAGCACAGAUGUUGAGCACAAUGAUACAUCCAUGGAGUGUUUGACUGUUGUGAGAGAGGGGAUAAACUCACCUUUGAUUUCUUUCAAACUGACCUCAACCUGCACUCCAUCAAGCUGGAGCAACACUUGAUCAUGUAAAGGUUCCAGCUUUGUGGUUCGAAUAAGAACCCUAAUACCUGAUAUGGACCCCUGACUAACACAAGAAGUGUCGUAUCCUACAAUAUUUCCCCAGUUCUGAAGCAAAAUAUUGAUACAGUUUCUGUUCCACCCUUCCAUUGGCAAACCAAAUAUGGAGAUCCAAGCAAAUCUGUCAGAUGCUCUAGUCCUUGUUUCCCACUGUCUGAGAUUGCUGAAUAGAGAAUGCAGCACAGAUACUUUAUUCCUUUGUUCUUGCACUGAGGCUAACUGAUCCACAUAGGUAAUAAUCACCUGGCUAGCUCCCAAAAAACGAAAGCUCACAGCUUUGACACUUGAUUUUAAAACCGUUGCCUCCAGUGUUGCUACAUCCACAUUUGGCAAGAUAUUUCCCACUAAGCUCCUAUGCAGAUUUUUCAUACCAUGAAAAAUUGGGGCAGAUUUUUCAUACCAUGAAAAAUUGGUCGUAAUAAGAACCUUUUUUUUUUCCUGGUCCUGCUCGACUUGGAAAGGGGUCCUUGAGGAUCCAAUUUGGAGUAUCUUGUGGGUUUAGUCAAAAAGGUCAUUCUCAGUCUUCACACUUCAUGCACAAGGAAAGAAUAUGUUUAAUUCGUCAAUCGACUCAUAGCUAACUCUGUAACAAAUGUUUGGGAUGAAGGGAAAAGUAUAGCUUUUUCUAAUUAGAGAAAGAAAUUGCAUAAACUGUGAAUGCUGUAAUUAUUUUCAAAGAACUUAACCAUAAAUCUACCCUUCUUGCAAGGAACAAAGCCUUCUUCUCUAUAUUUUCAAAGAAUGAUAUAAUUAUUAUGGUGAAUCAUGCAUGCAUAUCCAGAAUUUGAUAUUUCUUAAUUGAAUUUUGGAAAAGUCGUAAUACUUGGUAAAGCCUUUGGAUCGAUAGUUUCUCUGAGAUGUGAAUGGAAUUAACAACAUAGAGAAUAAUAAAAAAGAAAAAGCAACAGAAUCAAUCAUCAGAAGUUGUGAGAAUUAUAUCUUUCUUUGAAGAUUUUGAUUUUGACCACAGUGAACCUAUAAGCUUAACUAGAGAGGCUUCUAUGAUUUCUAUAUAUACGGACUAGCUUGGCUUCAAACCAUAUGUACAAGUCAAGCUCAAACUCAGAACCUCGUUAAACUGUUUCUUCUUAUUAUUUUUUAGUGUCAUUUUGCAAAUGGCUCGCCAAGCAGAGCGCCUUUCCAAGAUUGGGUUGGAAGGACUUGCACUAAUAGAUGAGUGGUACGAGUGCCCUAGGAGGUCUUCAACUCCUCAAGAACACCAUCAGCAACGAUAUGACUAUUGUGGAAUCCAAGUUCCCAUGAUGAAAAUGGAUGUUAUCAACAACAAGGAGGCAGCUAAACAUUAUGGUGGGGUGGUGAUUAUGGAUUAUCGAAAGAAAAAGUUACUCUAUUGAGCUCUUUAGUGAUAAUGUAUUGGGCCUUGCUUUGCUUGGUUAAGUUAAUUACCAAGCAUAAUUAAGUCGUUUUUAACUUUAUUGUUUUCUUCUUCUUUUUCCUAUGUUUUAGAGUCAGCUACUCCAAAAGAUGAAAAAGUAUGAGUGCCUUAAAGUGAUUUGCUGCACCUCUUAUUUCUCUAUGAUUUGUUGGGUUUCUUGAAAUACAUGACAUAGUGAAAAUAGUUUUUUCAAGUCUCAUGGAUCUCAUUAAACAACAUAAAUUUAUUUAGGAUUUGUGCGAAAAUUAUAUGAAGAUAGUUCUUCGUCCUAGAAUUUGAUCAACACUUGAAGGCUGUGUUUUCGUAAAUCAAGUCCUUACUUGAUUUUUCUAAAUCUAGAAUUUUAAUCUCAUGUUCUAAUUAUAUUAUAGUUUUCAAUUUCAAAAACUUAUUUACAAUCAAUUUGUUAUUACCUACUUUUGACUCCACGAAAAAUCAAGAAAAGAAAAAAGAAAAAAUAGAAAGAGAAAAUCCAAAAUACAAGAGGAUAUACAUGAAAAAAACCUAAAAGAUUACUCAAGUUGAUGGUGAAGGACCAAAUUACUAGUGGAAAAGUUGGAGGACUAAAAUGUUCAAAACUACUAUAAUUAACAACCCAAUUCUAAUUGACAAGGUUCCUUUUGGUGAAAAUAUUUCUAUUAGGGUAAAGAAAUACAAAUUUGGAUAGGUAAGGACUUAAUGAGAAUUUUGCAAGGCUUAAUUAAUUUUAUUGAGGACUUGAUUACUGGGAAAAUCAGUUUUUAGAGUUAAUUUAGGUGUUAAUUGAAAUAAAUUAAAGUUCAGAGACUUAAUUGGUUUUUUAGGAGGUUUAAUUGGAUGAAUCAAGGGCUUAAUUGUUAGAAUAUUAAAGUUUGGUAUGCAAUUAGGAACUUGAUUGAAGAAUUCUAAAACCAAGAACAAAACUGAAAAAAAAACGCAUGAAGUGGUAUCAGAAUCUAUUAUCCUUUUAUUAUUAACAAAACGGAAGCCAUAACUUACUGUUUAUACUGUAAUAUUAGGAUCUUCUCUGCCUUCUCCUCUCCAAAGGCCAUUGAGAGGUACAAUGUCCAGAAUGCAUCUAAGGAUAACCAUAUGUCCAUAUCCAUAAGAUCUCAAUGGAUUGCCUCUCACUACAGAAUCGCCUCUCACUACAGAAUCGAGCACAUCUUUAAGCUAGAAUAAAGUGCCUUCACUUAUUAUUUAGCAUUAUUGCGCAGGACAAGUCUUCACUGCUUAUUUCCUUAACAGUUUUGUCACUAUAAAAAAUUCAAUGAAUACAAACGGAUUUGCUGAUUGAAUUUUUCUAUCGGUAUUUUAUGGUGUUAUUUACCAACCAAAUUUUUUCCCUUGCUAAAAGGAUAAUGUCCAGAACGCUUCUAAGGAUAACCAUAUAUGCAUAUCUAUAAGAUCUCAAUGGAUUGCCUCUUACCAUAGAAUUGUAAAUAAUGAAGACUAUUUUACAAGGUUUUUAUCCUACAUUUGAAAAAACACAACUUAUUUCUUGUAAACAUAGAGUCUAUAUAAGGUUUUAUAUUACACAUUGAAAAAAUAAAAUAUUUAUCUAGUAUUUAUAUAGUAAACUUUGAUACGUGAUAGUAACCAAAACAAAAGGGGUAGUGGGCUUGCGUGUAUAAAGUUGAGCCGAGCAGGAGAAAAACCUCUGAUUACUCUCCGACGUGUGAGGCAAUGCCUUUCUGAACCUUUUGUCUCUAGCAAUAAUUUGUUUUUGGCUCUUAAAUUGAAACCACAAUUUUUUUAAAACUUAGAAUUAAUUUUCUAUUAGUCACAAAAUCCUAACAACUCUUUUAUUUUAAAACGUUUUUAACAUUUACAAUUCUUUAACUUCCUAACAGCUCUUUUAUUUUUUUGAAUUGUUGUAAAAACUCUUUAAUUUUCUAAUUUAUUUUCUGCCUAGUUGUUCCAUUUUAACAACCUAUAUAUGUCAUGCACUCUUACAAUCAUAGUGUGCUGAAAAAACCAUAGUAUUUUUCUGUGUUUGCAAAACUUGCUGGCAUUUCCUUUCGAUCUUGGUCUAGCUGUUUCCGUAACCCUUGUUUUAGAAAAAAUCUUGUUGAAAUCUGGAAUAUAACCUUGUGUUGAGAAAAUAUAUUUAAGGACAAUGUUUGUGCAUGCCUCAAGUUUUAUUUUAUUUCUAUUCUUCAUCUUAUUUUAUUACAACAUCCAGCACAUCCUUAAGUAAAUAAAGAAAGCUAGAAUAAAGUGGCCUCAGUGAUUAUUUAGCAUUAUUAAGUAGGCCAAGUACUCUUCACUGCUUAUUUCCUAUUAGUUCUGUAUUGUGGAAUUGCACUUACAAAUAAAGAACUUGUUCUUGAUAUUUUCGUACAGAAUUUCUCUCUCGAAUAGUCGGUCAAUAAAGUCACUUCGUUUAUUCGGAUUUGAGGCCGGCCAUGAGAUGGAGAGGUUGUGUCACAUUAAUUAUGUCAUGUUACUUAGGUUAACUAGAAUAAGAAAUAAAGAUAUAGGUUUUGGAAAGAAUAAAGAUCAGUUAAAGAAGGAAAAAAAAAAAGAAUAGAAAAAAAGAUUAUCAAAAAAAGAAUCAGAUUCACCAUUAAACUAAAGAGUCUCAUCGAUUCUACGAAACUUGUCGGAAGGAAUCAUUUGUUCAAUAAUUGAAUGCGAUUUUUGCUUUAUAUAUAUUUUAGGAACUUUGCACUAGAAAGGGAACAUUUGUGCCACCAAGUACUAACACUAGAAAGGGAACCUUUUUUUCCCAGUGUUAAUAGAUACUUUUUUUUAUAUAUUUUUGACAUUUCUCUUCUUGAUUUUUCUUAUUAAAGCAUGUUUGUUUUUGCAUUUCAAAAAUGCUUUGAAAACAUUUUGAAAAUUUUUAAUCGUUUUCUUUACUUCAAAUUUUAGGGGAGACUUUUGAUAAUAUUUUCAACAUUGUAGCCGACUUUUGGUUGCUCAAUCUUGGUUCUUGAUUGAACUUUCAACUCUUCAAAGAAUUGACCAUUCUUUGUUGUGAAUUUAUACUUCUUUUGCUCGUCUCCAGGUGUAGGCGUUGUGAUCGAGUUGGUUUAUAGUCUUGUUGCCUUGGAGCAAGUCUUUUAUUGUGAUAAGCUCAUUCAAAUCUCAACAAACUUGGGUUAGAUUGAUCUUGGGGUCGCGUAUACCAUUAAAUUCCGCUAGGGUUUGCUUCACUAGACCUUCUCUUGGAUCUAGACUUGUCAUACUAGUCUAUAAAUAUAUAUAUUAGAACAUCCAUAUAAUCUGUCUAGAGCAGAUACUCAUCUAAUUAUGGCAGACCCACAUAUGACAGCUCAGAAUCACCUGUUAUCGCAAACCCAAUUACAUCAUUAAUGGUUUUUCAAGGUAAGUCAUGAGGAAUUUGAAGCAUAUAAAACGAUAUAACUUGUCCCAAUAUCAUAAAAAUGUUAAAAAAAUGUGAGUAUAUGAACCCAUGAAGCGGGAUCAGAAUCUGUUUUCCUAUUGUUAUUAACAAUACGGAAAGCCAUAACUAACUGUUUGUACUAUAAUAUUGGGAGUGAGAGGUACAAUGUCCAGAAUGCUUCUAAGGAUAACCAUAUCCAUAAGAUCUCAAUGGAUUGCCCCUUACUACAGAAUCUAGCACAUCCUUAAGUAAAUAAAGAAAGCUAGAAUAAAGUGCCUUCACUGAUUAUUUAGCAUUAUUGAGCAGGCCAAGUCUUCACUGCUUAUUUCCUAUUAGUUCUGUAUUGUGGAAUUGCACUUACAAAUAAAGAACUUGUUCUUGAUAUUUUCGUACAGAAUUUCUCUCUCGAUUAGUCGGUCAAUAAAGUAACUUCGUUUAUUCGGAUUAAUUUGAGGCCGGCCAUGAGAUGGAGAGGUUUUGUUAUAUGGAAUCAGAUUCACCAUUAAACUAAAGAGUCGGAAUUAAGGAAUCAUUUGUUCACUAAUUGAAUGCGAUUUUUGUCUUAUAUAUAAUUUAGGAACUUUGCACUCGAAAGGGAACAUUUGUGCCACCAAGUACUAACAAUAACUGUCCAUAGUUUUGCAUGCAUAGACCCUUUUUUCCCGGUGUUAAUAGAUAUUUUCGGACCAACUUGAAAGCAAUUAUUAGAGAUAUCAAUUCAAUCUGAAUUCAAUAUGCAUACAUAUAUAUUACUUUUUUUUUAUUUUAUAUUAAAUAAUAAAUAAUGUUUAGGAAAUAAAAAUCUAAAUGGAUCGAUGAAUAUAAUAUUAGUUUCUAAAUGAUACAACAUAGCUAGAAGAAACUGGAGGUUAUGAUUGGUUAGAAGGGACCUGAUAUAGCUAAAUGAGGGUCAAACCACCAACAAAUUACGUAGAUGACUUAACAUUUACUUUUAUGGUUUAAUAAAAUAGGAAUAGGUUCAAGAAAAGAUAUAUUCAUGUCAAACUAAUAAAGUAUCUAAAACAAGUCAUAGCUUUUUAUCCGACCAUUAGAUAAAUCUCAAAUUUUUACUUAGAUUCCCUAAGCCCAUCUCUAUGGAGGAGCUCUUUGGCAAUCCAUCCUCUAAAUGGAUUUCCUCAAAUUAAAAUGAGAAGAUCCGGCUCAAGCCAAUUUUGUUGUUGUUUUUUUUUUUCUUCAAAAUUUUAUGUUUUAUUUCGGAUUUUCCAUUAUUUUUCAAAUUAAAGAAACCGAGAUAAAAUACCCUGAAUCUUCUUUCAUAAUUUGCUUCCGAUAAGGUGUAGUGUUUUUGCUACUUUUACUUUUGGACCUGACUUGUUUCCUGACCGGUAGAAAUAGCAUUGGUCCAAAAGCACUAGUCCAAAAGCAGGGAAGCUUUUGUUUUCUUUAAUCACAUGAUCCGAUAUUCUCAUUUAUGCCCAACACAAAUUCAUAGAUGUGGCUCUAAUGAUUGGCUGACAACAGUUGUUAAUGAGCAGUGUUUGCGUCCCUUAUUUUUCAGUUUACUAAGUAUUUAGAACAUUCAAUUCCAAUCCAAAGUCGAUAAUAAUAAACUCUUGGUGAUCGGUUUUGUCAUCGAUGGUGAUCGGACGACAAAAAAACAUCCCGGUUUUGUCAUCAAUUAUCGGUUUCCAAUCCAAAGUCGGUUUUUUAUAAAGUUUUCUUAUAUAAAAAGUUUAUUAAGCAUUGAAAACAUCCAAAUCUAACAGUAAAAUUAAUAAACUUUUGAUGAUAAUCUUUUUUUCAUUUUGUGAUGCUUUUAUCGUCAGUAGUGAUAAGAUGAAGAAAAGCUAUUGAUUUUUCUCUCUGCAAUGGUUACUUUUAUCGUACACAAAUGUUGGGUGCUUUUAUUUACAAAAAGGAUCACUGCCUAACAAUAUUCAUUUCACAGCUGUUGUCAACCAAACCUUCCCGAUCUAUAUAAAGGUUGGCUUGGCCUCACACAUAUUAGCCAAGCAAGUAAACCAGCUCGACCUAUAUACAGCUACUUGUCUUGUGUAUUGACUGACAAAUUGUAGUUAACAUGGCACGUCAGGCAGACCGUCUUGCUAAGAUUGGGCUAGAGGGCUUUGCAGCCAUAGAUGAGCACUUCGGCCGGGCCAAGAGGCGGCCACCAGUGCUGAAGGUUCCCUAUGCUCAUCCGACAUAUUACUAUGCAAACCAAAUUCCUGCAACAGAAGUUAUCGACAACAACGAGGCAGCUCAACGCUACAAGGGGAGGGUUUAUCUCAAUUAUCCUAAGGGGAAACCAGUUCCGUUUUAAAGACCUAGUGAUUAAUCACUUAGCUUUCUUGUAUGCAUAACCUCCUCUAGUUGUGUUACCUUUAGUCCUGUACGAUAUUCUCCCUCUGCUAAACGUAGACGAGGAGAGGUUGCUAGAACUCGAGUCCGGAGCUUCUUCUUGCUUCAUCAAAUAAAAUUUCUGUGAUUUAUAUAUUAUAAUUUUCUAUUUGGCUGGUCAAGUAUGCAUUGUCAUAAAUAUCACUCUGCUUCCCUGAUUAUUACCUUAUUCACCUAUUACUUAGCAUGAAAUAUUGAAAGAUUAAUGCAGUCGGAAGCACAACAAUAUAGCUGCAAGCAUAGAAAGACAAAAGAUAAACUGAAAUAAUGUUAAAACACUGAGAAUCCUAAAACCUUAUUUCUAAAAUAUUAAUUUGAUUAAGUUUACCUUCUAAAGAGGUUUACAAUCUCUUUCAUAGACUAGAAAAAUAGGCCAAGAUUCGAAACAAAAUCAGAAUCCCAAAACAUAACGGAAAAUAACAUAAAAUUUAAAAAUAAACAAUAAAUCUGCGAAAAUUAAGGAAAAUAACAAAAUUAUCCCAAAUAAUAACUAAUUAGCCUACUUUAUGGAGAUACAAUGCUCUGAUAACUAUUGAGUGGUUUUUAAUGGGAAAACGGUUUGUAGAAUCUUCUAUAAAAAUUUAAACCUGAUUUAACGGUUAGAAUAUCUCCUGUUAUCAUUAUUUUAGGCUAUUAUUCUAGUCUUGCGAGAUCAUGCUUUCUCUUGGCCUAAACAUCUUUCACUAGUACAUGAACAUAUCUGUUAGUAGUCCGUUUAGGGCAAACAAAUAAUUAAUUUGCUGUUCAAAUGCUUUGAAGCUCUUCAAGGUGUGAUUUCACUGAAUAAUUUCGAGUUUAGAAUUAUCACCUCAUUUUAGAAUUGUCCCGAGCACAAGGAUAAAAUGAUGAGCCAUGGGAAGCGUCUCCGAUAAAGAAAUAAUAAACGGAGUUCAAGGUAAAACAAUAGCUUAGAAAAAAAAAGAGUAGAAAUUUACACGAUAUCUAAGAAUAUCAGCGAUCAUGACCAUGAUUGGAUCAUUUCUGAGUUCUACAACCAAAAUUUCCUUCACAUCUCUUUAACUAAGCUGAUAGUCCAUGAAGAUUUAAGGAAAAACAUGAUUCCCAAUCCGAGCCAUAUGAGCAAGUGUAUCUAGUAAAAAUAUCUUAUCUCCCAUGAAAAUGAUAUUAGUAAGCCUCCCUCUGAAGCAUUGCUUUACACAUAUCUUUUACAGAAAAAAGAGAAAAAUGGGAAAUGCUCCGAGUUAUACCUUUUCUUGAUCUUUCCCAAUCCUUCAUUAUAAAUGGGACCCAUCAAAAACAUGAGAUGUGCUUUAACUUCCUCCAUAUUUCAUCUUAGCCUAGAAGGAUAAACAAGAAUAUUAUUGCUUCUGAAACAUAACGAUUGCAAGCAUCGCCUUUCGGUGAACUUUAGAUGACAUGAAACUGCCACAAAUUGGGUCCUAUCCGAGAGAGUUUUCUUUUUCUGCUCUGUUAUCACACAUAUACAACUGAAAUCUUUAAGUCCUCUUUAGGGUAUCCCUGAAAGAAAAUGAUCUAUCAUGCAUGGAAAGUCCUGAGGAAUCUGAGGCAUCACUACAUGAAAUUCAACCAACGGAAUUGCCGACAAACUGUUUCUUUCGGUAUUUUGCGGUGAUAUUUACCGACCGAAUUACUUCCCUUGCUAAAACCGUCGGUAUAUACCGACAGAAACAUUUCGUCGGUAUAUAUCGAGUGAAUCCCAGAUAGAAUAUAAAGAAUUUUAAAAAACAAAGCAGUGCAAUGACGUGGAAGUUUUUGUGGAUGAUGUUACUGACGGAAUUACAGAGUGAUUCAAACUGGGAUGUUCGUACAGUGACGUGUUUACUUCACCGACAGAAUGGCCGAUGGAUUUACAAACAGAAAUAUUAUGUCGGUAAUUCCAUCGGUAAUAGUUAAUAUAUUGAAUGUUUUUUUAGUGUUUACUUGUUUUAUUAUUUUUCUCAAACAAACUUGUAGUAUGGAUUUAUAAUUUUGUACUUGGUAUGGUUUGUUUUAGAUUUUGUAAAAUUAUAUUUGUUUGUAAAUUGUUGAAAUUUAUGUCGAAUUACCGACUUAGGUGUGUUGUGAUGAAAUAAAUAAUGACUUGUUUGAUGGGUCCGUUUUAAUUUUUGUCAAUUUUAUUGCCGAGUUGUAAUUUCUGUAAAUUAAUGUGUAUAAAUUUGUAUGGACGUAGAUAAUUGAUAAUGGAUAUUUAAGAGAAGUUUGAAAGUAAGUUGGAAAUCUUGAGCUAAACCAAUAUUUUUGCAAAUUUAUUUGCUUAACGUAGUUAAUUAAUACAUGUUGUCAUCAUUAUUUUAUAGAGGUUUGAUAGAAGUCAUGGAUGAUCAUUCAUGAAUGUAUCGAGAUUCACCUUAAGAAUUGCGGAUGAUGGAUUAUUAUAAUAGGAUUCAGAGUUUUAUUAAUUUCGCAACAUCUAUUUCGAGAAAUUUUAGUGGAGACGGUAUUAAGUGUCCAUACAGGAGGUGUAAAAAUAAAAAGUUUUUGCAUCCAGAUGUUGUAACGAUGUAUCUUCUACACAAAGGGUUCAUGGAGGAUUACUUGUGUUGGUAUGCACACAAAGAAUUAUUUGUUCGUAACAAGAGCAUGGUAGAAAGGAUGGUUGGGUCAACUUCUAGUGCUAGCAAUGUGCAUGGAGUUGUAAAUGACAAUAGUAAUCCUUACAGGAAUAUGGUUAUGGAUUCAAUGAGAAUGAAUCAAGGUAAUGCUAGUCAAUGUCCAAUUGUAGAAGAAGAACCUAAUGCAGACGCGGCCAUGUUUUUUGAUUUGUUGAAAGAUUCUGAUGAACCAUUAUGGGAUGGCUGCACAAAUCACUGUAAAUAAUCGGUCGUUGCACAUGUGUUCACUAUCAAGUUGGAUUAUGGGUUGAGUGAGGCCGGUUAUGACAAAAUUAUCGAAUGGGCAAGAAGCAUUCUACUUGAAGGGAACAAGCUGAAAGAGAACUUCUAUGCUACUAAGUCCAUGAUGAAACCCCUCGGUUUAGGAUACUAGAAAAUUGACAUGUGUCCAAACUUUUGCAUGAUGUACUACCUUGAAAAUGCUGAGCUAACCGAGUGCAUGGCAUGAGAGCAUUCCCGUUACAAACCCAGAACUGGCAUGAGAAAGACUCUUAUGGCAUAUAAAAAACUUAGAUACUUCCCAAUCACGCCUAGACUGUAGAGGUUAUUCAUGUCACCAAAGACUACUGAGCACAUGAUAUAGCACCAAUCACUUGAUGCAGUGGAUGGAGUGAUGGUGCAUCCUUCUGACGGUGAAGCAUGGAAACACUGUAACAGUGUGCAUUCUCAUUUUUCAGCUGAAUCAAGGAACGUGCAUCUUGGGUUAUGUACAGAUGAAUUCAACCCAUUCAGGUCAUUUGUUGAUCCUUAUUCUUGUUGGCCGAUUAUACUCACGGUUUACAACUUACCACUCUUAUGGCAACAGUUGCUCCUUCUUCACAAUACUUAUGGAACAAAGACUUGUUAAGUGCUUGACUAACGGACUGUUUUUCUCAAAGCUUUUAGUUUGGUUGACCUGAAACUUUGUUUUCGUAGCAAUCCCCAUCAACGGAAACUACGAUCAAAUUGUGUACAAUUUGGUUAUCUUGAAAUCGCAAUCUAGUGAUUUGCUUAAUCCAAAACCAAAAUCAAUGCCAAAGUUCGGUCAACCUGAGAUCCCAAUUUGGCGAUCCGCUUUAACUAGAACUAAAAUAUGAAAAGUAGCUCGGUAACCUGAAAUCCCAAUCCUGCGAUUCACUUUAACCAGAACCUUGGUCUUUGUCGUUAAGUUGGUCAAUCUAAAAUCCCAAUACGACGAUUCUCUUUAAUAAGAACCAAAAUGUCGCCUUUAGCUUAGUUAAUCUAAAAUCUCAAUCUAGAGACCCCCUUUAACCAAAACCUUGGUCUUUAUCCUUAGCUCGGUCAACCUGAGAUCCCAAUCUAGUGAUUUCCUUUAACCAAAACCAAAAUGUCACCUUAAGCUUGGUUAACCUGAAAUCUCAAUCUACAGAUCCCCUUUAAUCAGAACCUUGAUCUUUGUCUUUAGCUCAGUCAACUUGAGAUCCUAAUCUAGCUAUUCCCUUUAAUUAGAACAAAAAUGUCACCUUCAGCAUGGUUAACCUGAAAUCUCAAUCUAGAGACCCCCUUUAACCAGAACCUUGGUCUUUGUCUUCAGUUCGGCAAACCUAAAAUCCCAAUCUGAUGAUUCGUUUUAACCAGAACCAAAAUGUUGCCUUAAGCUUGGUUAACCUAAAAUCUUAAUAUAGAGACCCCCUUUAACUAAAACCCUGGUCUUUGUCUUUAGCUCAUUCAACCUGAGAUCCCAAUCCGACAAUCCUAUUUAACUAGAACCAAAAUGUUUCUUUCAGUUUGGUUAACCUGAAAUCUCAAUCGAGUGACUCCCUUUAAUCAAGCGAUUCCCUUUAACUAAAACCAAAAUGUUGCCUUCAACUCGGUUAACCUAAAAUCUCAAUUUAGAGACCCCUCUUUAACUAGAACCUUAGUCUUUUUUUUUUAGCUCGGUCAACUUGAGAUCCCAAUCUUAUGAUCCCAUUUAACAAGAACCAAAAUAUUGCCUUCAACUCGGUUAACCUAAAAUCUCAAUUUAGGGAACUCUCUUUAACUAGAACCUUAGUCUUUUUCUUUAGCUCGGUCAACUUGAGAUUCCAAUCCUACGAAUCUUGAAACAUCAUCCCCUUCUUAGUCCUACUUUGAUUUGCCAAAAAAAUGGAAAAGAAUGAAUGAUAUGGUGGAGAACUAGACCGGUCUUUACCAUUGGCUAGAACCAACCAUAGGCUGCUUAGAAAGCAACCUUCAACACCUAAAAACAAACCACCACAUAACAACCCUGCAAUUAUCAACAACAACAUCUAGUUCUAGCUACCUAGUCUAUGUCAAAGAAUAGAAUCUGAGGCAACUUUUUGACCAAAAUUCCAUUCUCUAUUAUUCCUUCAAUAUUGGGGUUUAAUGCAAGCAACUUGUUUAUUCGGAUUUGAGAUGUAAAUAGAUUUUAAUUUUGUUAGGAUGAGGUGGUCAGGUUGCGUCACAUUGAUUAUGUCAUGAAGUUAACUAGAGUAAGAAAUAAAGAUAUCAAGUUUCGGAGAGAAUCAAGAUCAGUUAAAGCAAAAAAAAAAAAAAACAGAUUAUGAAAAUAAAUUGGAAACGAAAAGUUUAGUUAUAAGGAAUUAGAUUCACAAACAAAUUUAAGUCUCAUCAAUUCUAGGAAACAAGUUGGAAGGAAUCAAUUUUACAAAAAUUGACCUUCGCACUAGAGAGAACCUUCGAGCCACUUCAAAUGUACUGAAGGCCAUUUGUUUGCCAUAUGUGCUAAUUAAGAACAUAAUUCUAUUCUUUUGUGAGUUAAUAUUCUGUAAAAUAAGCUUGGAAUAGCUUGCGGGGGCUUGGCUCAGAGAUCAUUGAGUUUUUACUACAAAUUGCCUUUUAAUUUUUUUCCACCUGUAAUUGGAUUCGAUAAGUUUCCCUUUUGUUUACAUAUGAAGAACAAACAUUGCUUGAGGUUAUCCAAUGCCGAGAUCAAGGUCAGAUAAUACUAGCGAACCCCUAAUCAGGAUUAAGAAGCAAAAAAAAUGUUAAGUGCAGCUUAUCCAAUGCCGAGACCAAGGUCAGAUAAUAUCCUGAUUGUGCUUAUUGCCAUUAAUUAGAAACUGCAAUAUCGUCACAUAAUUAAACUGAGAUUAUUCUGAUUAGAGAACAGAAGGAAUCUUCUUUCAUAAUUGGCUUUUGCGAAGGUUUAGUGUUUUUGCUGCUACUGCUUUUGGACCUGACUUGAUUCCUGAUCGGUCGAAAAAGCAUUAGUCCAAAAGCAGGGAAGCUUUUGUUUUCUUUAAUCACAUGAUCAGAUAUUAUAAUUUAUGCCCAACACAAAUUCAUAAAAGUGGCUCUAAGAUUGGCUGACAACAGUUGUUAAUGAGCAGUGUUUGCAUCCCUUAUUUUUCAGUUUACUAAGUAUUUAGAACAUUCAAUUCCAAUCCAAAGUCGAUAAUAAUAAACUCUUGGUAAUGGUUUUGUCAUCGAUGGUGAUCGGACGACAAAAAAACCAGUAAAAUUGUUUUAUAUAAAAAGUUUAUUAAGUAUUGAAAACAUCCAAAUCUAACAUGUUUUACUUUUUUGUGUUUAAAUAUGAUAUUAAUAAACUUUUGAUGAUAUAUAUUUUUUUUCAUUUUGUGAUGCUUUUAUCGUCAGUAGUGAUAAGAUGAAGAAAAGCUAUUGAUUUUUCUCUCAGCAAUGGUUAGUUUUAUCGUACACAAAUGUUGGGUGCUUUUAUUUACAAAAAGGAGUACUGUCUACCAUUAUUCAUUCCACAGCUGUUGUCAACCAAACCUUUCCUUUCUCUAUAAAGGUUGGCUUGGCCUCCUACAUAUUAGCCAAAGCAAGAAAACCAACAAAACCUAUAAACAGCUACUUGUCUUUGUGUGUUGAUUAAUUGUAGUUAACAUGGCACGUCAGGCAGAUCGUCUUGUUAAGAUUGGGCAGGAGGGUUUUGCAGCCAUUGAUGAGCACUUCGGCCGGGCCAAGAGGCGGCCACCAGUGAAGGUUCCCUAUGCUCAUCCCACAUAUUACGAUGUUCCUGCAACAGAAGUUAUCAACAGCAACGAGGCAGCUCAACGCUACAAGGGGAGGGUUUAUGUCGAUUACCCUAAGGGUAAACCAGUUCCGUUUUAAAGACCUAUUGAUUAAUCACUUAGCUUUCUUGUAUGCAUAACCUCCUCCAGUUGUGUUACCUUUAGUCCUGUACGAUAUUCUCCCUCUGCUAAACGUAGACGAGGAGAGGUUGCUAGAACUCGAGUCAGGAGCUUCUUCUUACUUCUUCAAAUAAACUUUCUGUGAUUUAUAUAUCAUUUUCUAUUUGUAUGUAUUGUCAUAAUUAUCUUUCUUACUUCCUCAUUAUCACCUCUUACUUAGCAUGGAAUUGAAAGAUACAAUAUGCUCUUGAAAUGCUUUGAAGCUCUUCAAGGUGUGAUUUCACCGACUAAGUUUGGAACUGUACAGAGCUCAAUGAUGAGCCGUGGGAGGCGUCUCUGAUUGUUGCACUGUAAGCAUGAGUGUACGUAUGAAUAUAACCAGCAGAUCCGCAAACCACAAGUGAUGACAAGCUUCUUAACACUGCUGCAUUUAACAGUUUUACCAACAAAAUGUUUUGUCGGUAUUUACUCUACCAUUCCGUCAGCAUGAAUUUUAUCGACUGAUUUACGGACGGAAACAGUCCAUUGGUAAAUUCCUCUUGUCAGUAAUUUCAUUAAUGUCGGUACAAAAAAACCCGAUGGUUUUACAAAUAGAAAAUGCAAGCCAAUUUUU
rnacentral:lncRNA from 1 species